UCCCUGGUGGCUCAGAUGGUAGAGCAUCUGCCUACAACGCAGGGUACACAGGUUCAGUCCCUGGGUUGGGAA
rnacentral:tRNA from 1 species